CACUGUGGAAUUCGCCCUUAGAGUUUGAUCCUGGCUCAGAUUGAACGCUGGCGGCAGGCCUAACACAUGCAAGUCGAACGGUAGCACAGAGGAGCUUGCUCCUUGGGUGACGAGUGGCGGACGGGUGAGUAAUGUCUGGGGAUCUGCCCGAUGGAGGGGGAUAACUACUGGAAACGGUAGCUAAUGCCGCAUAACGUCGCAAGACCAAAGUGGGGGACCUUCGGGCCUCACACCAUCGGAUGAACCCAGAUGGGAUUAGCUAGUAGGUGGGGUAAUGGCUCACCUAGGCGACGAUCCCUAGCUGGUCUGAGAGGAUGACCAGCCACACUGGAACUGAGACACGGUCCAGACUCCUACGGGAGGCAGCAGUGGGGAAUAUUGCACAAUGGGCGCAAGCCUGAUGCAGCCAUGCCGCGUGUAUGAAGAAGGCCUUCGGGUUGUAAAGUACUUUCAGCGGGGAGGAAGGGGUGGUGGUUAAUAGCCAUCGUCAUUGACGUUACCCGCAGAAGAAGUACCGGCUAACUCCGUGCCAGCAGCCGCGGUAAUACGGAGGGUGCAAGCGUUAAUCGGAAUUACUGGGCGUAAAGCGCACGCAGGCGGUCUGUCAAGUCGGAUGUG
rnacentral:rRNA from 1 species